rnacentral:lncRNA from 1 species
GGCCAGAGUCCUGGGAGGGGCGUGGCUGGAGUCCAGGGAAGGGCGGGGCCAGAGUCCUGGGAGGGGCGUGGCUGGAGUCCAGGACAGGGCGGGGCCAGAGUCCCGGGUUGACCGUGCUCAGGCGUCCGGCGGUCCCGGAGGUGGAGGCUCGGCGGGUCAGUGAGCAGAGCAGACCUCUGAGGAAACAGGCCGAAAGGCAGAGGGUCGCCCGGGCCGGGCCCAGCGCACCUCGGGUCACCAGUCCAAGGGCGCUGUCCCCGCAGUGGGUCUGUGCCCGGACGUCUGCAGCAGAACGCACCCGACCCAGGCAAUGCCCGGCGCCGAGGGGUCCGGAAGUCGGCCAGCUGUGGCCGCCGGGCCGCGGGGCCGAGGGGAAGUAGCGGGCGGUCCGGGCCGACCACCGCAGGGCCGGGGCGCCGAAGGUGAGAGCUGAGGACGAUGUGGACCACCCAGGAGCAGAGAGGCUCAGGCGAGCGUCGUAAACGCGGACGCGGGCUGGGGUCGCUGGCUGCGGCGCGGGUUUCGGGGCAGCAGGACGGCCCAGGACCUCCCGAGACCGAUGGGGUGAGCCCCCAGGCGGAGGGCGGCGCUCCCCGAGGUCAGGCCGAGGCUUCUCCUCCUGGCGCCCCCCCUCCCCAGCUUCACGCGGACCCGGGGCCAUCUGUUCCGGGUGUUCCCCCAGCUCCACGCUCUGCCCUGCCCGAGAGGGCGGGCUCACCCCCCUUCCUUAGGUCUCGGCAGGAGCCUCCCCUCGGCGGCUCAGCUCCUGCAGCCUCGGGGAGGUCGCUCCUGCGUCUUCGGGAGCCUCCACUUCCCGGCGGCUCCGUCCUUCUCUGCAGCAGCCUAGCCGCGUUCACACGGACAGCCCGGGGGCGGGCCGGGCCGGCAGAGCCUGCGCAGAUCUCUUCGCGGGGGAGGACCCGACUGAUGGACGGAUCCCGGGUUUCAAAUCCCGGGGUUCGGACGCAGCCAGAGUAAAAUCUGGCGCAAAGCAAAGGAAGGAAGUGAGCGGAGUCAGCUCCCAGACCCCCUCCCGGGGUCCUAGAGAAGGGAAGGACUGGACACUCAUGCUGGGAAGCAGAGUUCUGAGAGAGCCAACUGCAGACGCACCUGGAGGGGUGCCCCCAGCACCCGAC